rnacentral:rRNA from 1 species
UACGAAGGGGGCUAGCGUUGCUCGGAAUCACUGGGCGUAAAGGGUGCGUAGGCGGGUCUUUUAAGUCAGGGGUGAAAUCCAUGGAGCUCAACUCCAGAACUGCCUUUGAUACUGAGGAUCUUGAGUUCGGGAGAGGUGAGUGGAACUGCGAGUGUAGAGGUGAAAUUCGUAGAUAUUCGCAAGAACACCAGUGGCGAAGGCGGCUCACUGGCCCGAUACUGACGCUGAGGCACGAAAGCGUGGGGAGCAAACAGGG